rnacentral:rRNA from 1 species
GAAGGGGGCUAGCGUUGUUCGGAAUUACUGGGCGUAAAGCGCGCGCAGGCGGUCCUUCAAGUCAGAGGUGAAAGCCCAGAGCUCAACUCUGGAACGGCCUUUGAGGCUAGAGGACUAGGGUACGGGAGAGGUGAGUGGAAUUCCGAGUGUAGAGGUGAAAUUCGUAGAUAUUCGGAAGAACACCAGUGGCGAAGGCGGCUCACUGGCCCGUUACCGACGCUCAGGCGCGACAGCGUGGGGAGCAAACAGGAUUAGAUACCCUGGUAGUCCACGCCGUAAACGAUGGAUACUAGCCGUUGGUAAGCAUGCUUAUCAGUGGCGCAGCUAACGCAUUAAGCGUCCCGCCUGGGGAGUACGGCCGCAAGGUUG